GACGAACGCUGGCGGCGUGCUUAACACAUGCAAGUCGAACGGUAAGGCCCCUUCGGGGGUACACGAGUGGCGAACGGGUGAGUAACACGUGAGCAACCUGCCCUUGACUCUGGAAUAACAGUUGGAAACAGCUGCUAAUACUGGAUAUUCAUCGUCUCCUUCCUGGGGGGUGGUGGAAAGCUCCGGCGGUCAGGGAUGGGCUCGCGGCCUAUCAGCUUGCUGGUGAGGUAAUGGCUCACCAAGGCUUCGACGGGUAGCCGGCCUGAGAGGGCGACCGGCCACACUGGGACUGAGAUACGGCCCAGACUCCUACGGGAGGCAGCAGUGGGGAAUAUUGCACAAUGGGCGCAAGCCUGAUGCAGCAACGCCGCGUGCGGGAUGACGGCCUUCGGGUUGUAAACCGCUUUCAGUAGGGACGAAGGGUGACUGACGGUACCUACAGAAGAAGGACCGGCUAACUACGUG
rnacentral:rRNA from 1 species